UUAAUUAUGGUUGGUGAGUGGAUA
rnacentral:siRNA from 1 species